UCCAGACUCCUACGGGAGGCAGCAGUGGGGAAUAUUGCACAAUGGGGGAAACCCUGAUGCAGCAACGCCGCGUGGGUGAAGGAGCGUUUCGGCGCGUAAAGCCCUGUCAGCGGGGAAGAAGAAAGACGGUACCCGACCAAGAAGCCCCGGCUAACUACGUGCCAGCAGCCGCGGUAAUACGUAGGGGGCAAGCGUUAUCCGGAUUUACUGGGUGUAAAGGGAGCGUAGACGGCGAUGCAAGCCAGAUGUGAAAGCCCGCGGCUCAACUGCGGUAGUGCAUUUGGAACUGUAUGGCUGGAGUGCAGGAGAGGCAGGCGGAAUUCCUAGUGUAGCGGUGAAAUGCGUAGAUAUUAGGAGGAACACCAGUGGCGAAGGCGGCCUGCUGGACUGUAACUGACGUUGAGGCUCGAAAGUGUGGGUAUCAAACAGGAUUAGAUACCCCGGUAAC
rnacentral:rRNA from 1 species